GACGAACGCUGGCGGCGUGCUUAACACAUGCAAGUCGAACGGAAAGGCCCUGCUUUUGUGGGGUGCUCGAGUGGCGAACGGGUGAGUAACACGUGAGUAACCUGCCCUUGACUUUGGUAUAACUUCAGGAAACUGGGGCUAAUACCGGAGAGGAGCUCCUGCUGCAUGGUGGGGGUUGGAAAGGUUCGGCGGUUGGGGAUGGACUCGCGGCUUAUCAGCUUGUUGGUGGGGUAGUGGCUUACCAAGGCUUUGACGGGUAGCCGGCCUGAGAGGGUGACCGGCCACAUUGGGACGGAGAUACGGCCCAGACUCCUACGGGAGGCAGCAGUGGGGAAUAUUGCACAAUGGGAGGAAGCCUGAUGCAGCAACGCCGCGUGCGGGAUGACGGCCUUCGGGUUGUAAACCGCUUUCGCCUGUGACGAAGCGUGAGUGACGGUAAUGGGUAAAGAAGCACCGGCUAACUACGUG
rnacentral:rRNA from 1 species